rnacentral:lncRNA from 1 species
UGAUCCACCUGCCUCAGCCUCCCAAACAUGGUAUUCUGUUAUAGCAACCAGAAUGGACUAGGACACUCUGUGUGUCUAGAGUAGAGGGAAUGAGGAGAAAGUAGAGAAGAGGGUAGAGAGAUUGUGUGUGUGUGUGUGUGUGUGUGUGUGUGUGUGUGUGUGUGUACAGGGAAGUCAGGUCAUGUGGGCCUUGCAUAAUUACUUUAAGGGAAAUGGACAGUCAUUGGAGGCUUUGAGCAGAGAAAUAACAUGGCUUGACAUACAUUUUAGAAGCAUCACUCUGGCUGCUGAGUGGAAAGGAGAUUUUAAGACUGCUGUUGGGGAAGGAGGAAGACCAGUUGGGAGGCUGCUGCAUCUUCAGCUCCCGAUUACUCAUGGCUUCAGACUUCCAUCAAUUUAAUAAAAACAAAACAAUGGAGUGAAGACUGAAAAAUUACCUAUUGAGUACCAUGUUCACUGUUUGGAUGAUGGGUACACUGAAAACCCAGACUUCAUCAGCAUGCAGUAUAUGCAUCUAAAAGCUCUGCACUAAAUAUUUGUGAAAAAGAAGACAAAACAGGCAAUAAAAUAAUUCUGACAUAUUAAAACAGCCAGCCUAUAACUCAGUUCAAAAUAUUCGAGCAAAGCUGAGGUCUUUGGGUAGUUGGUAGGGUGAGUAAUAACUGAAUGGGGUGACAAUGAGGAGAGUCAGGAGGGCUAAACAUGGCUUCCACCUCUUGCCAAAGCCUGGUGUGGCUGCAGC